CUACGUGCCAGCAGCCGCGGUAAUACGGAGGGUGCGAGCGUUAAUCGGAAUAACUGGGCGUAAAGGGCACGCAGGCGGUGACUUAAGUGAGGUGUGAAAGCCCCGGGCUUAACCUGGGAAUUGCAUUUCAUACUGGGUCGCUAGAGUACUUUAGGGAGGGGGAGAAUUCCACGUGUAGCGGUGAAAUGCGUAGAGAUGUGGAGGAAUACCGAAGGCGAAGGCAGCCCCUUGGGAAUGUACUGACGCUCAUGUGCGAAAGCGUGGGGAGCAAACAGGAUUAGAUACCCUGGUAGUCCACGCUGUAAACGAUGUCGAUUUGGGGGUUGAACUAUAAGUUUGGCGCCCGUAGCUAACGUGAUAAAUCGACCGCCUGGGGAGUACGGCCGCAAGGUUAAAACUCAAAUGAAUUGACGGGGGCCCGCACAAGCGGUGGAGCAUGUGGUUUAAUUCGACGCAACGCGAAGAACCUUACCAGGUCUUGACAUUGAUGGACAGAACUAGAGAUAG
rnacentral:rRNA from 1 species